rnacentral:tRNA from 1 species
GCUCCUGUAGUGUAGCGGCCAAUCAUGAGGCCCUUUCGAGGCUUCGACUCGGGUUCGAAUCCCGACAGGAGCACC